GCAUGGCUUUGGAUUUAUGAAAAACCCUUCCAAACCUGGGUUUCUCAUAGUGUAUUCCAUGCCAGAGAAAUUGACUACCCCCAACCAUUGCCAGGCCUCCUCAUCUGUAGGCCUUAGGCACUGAAGAGGGUAGAACAGGA